UUCCAGACUCCUACGGGAGGCAGCAGUAGGGAAUUUUCGGCAAUGGGGGGAACCCUGACCGAGCAACGCCGCGUGAACGAAGAAGUUAUUCGUAAUGUAAAGUUCUUUUAUCAGGGAAGAAAGAGGAAUUUGACGGUACCUGAGGAAUAAGCUCCGGCUAACUACGUGCCAGCAGCCGCGGUAAUACGUAGGGAGCGAGCGUUAUCCGGAUUUAUUGGGUUUAAAGGGUGCGCAGGCGGCACGGCAAGCCGGCGGUCAAAUCGCGGGGCUCAACCCCGCCCAGCCGUCGGAACUGCCGGGCUAGAGUGGGCGAGAAGUGCGCGGAAUGCGUGGUGUAGCGGUGAAAUGCAUAGAUAUCACGCAGAACUCCGAUUGCGAAGGCAGCGCACCGGCGCCCUACUGACGCUCAGGCACGAAAGCGUGGGUAUCGAACAGGAUUAGAUACCCGCGUAC
rnacentral:rRNA from 1 species